UACCAGCACCCCGAGUGGUCGGGACGUUUAUUGGGCCUAAAGCAUCCGUAGCCGGUUCUACAAGUCUUCCGUUAAAUCCACCUGCUUAACAGAUGGGCUGCGGAAGAUACUAUAGAGCUAGGAGGCGGGAGAGGCAAGCGGUACUCGAUGGGUAGGGGUAAAAUCCGUUGAUCCAUUGAAGACCACCAGUGGCGAAGGCGGCUUGCCAGAACGCGCUCGACGGUGAGGGAUGAAAAGCUGGGGG
rnacentral:rRNA from 1 species